rnacentral:rRNA from 1 species
GCAUUCAUGGAGAGUUUGAUCCUGGCUCAGGACGAACGCUGGCGGCGUGCUUAACACAUGCAAGUCGAACGAUGAAGCCGCUUCGGUGGUGGAUUAGUGGCGAACGGGUGAGUAACACGUGGGCAAUCUGCCCUGCACUCUGGGACAAGCCCUGGAAACGGGGUCUAAUACCGGAUACGACUGCCUGAGGCAUCUCGGGUGGUGGAAAGCUCCGGCGGUGCAGGAUGAGCCCGCGGCCUAUCAGCUUGUUGGUGGGGUAAUGGCCUACCAAGGCGACGACGGGUAGCCGGCCUGAGAGGGCGACCGGCCACACUGGGACUGAGACACGGCCCAGACUCCUACGGGAGGCAUAGAUAUUAGGAGGAACAGCAGU